AUACGGAGGGGGCUAGCGUUGUUCGGAAUUACUGGGCGUAAAGCGCACGUAGGCGGACCAGAAAGUUGGAGGUGAAAUCCCAGGGCUCAACCUUGGAACUGCCUUCAAAACUAUUGGUCUGGAGUUCGAGAGAGGUGAGUGGAAUUCCGAGUGUAGAGGUGAAAUUCGUAGAUAUUCGGAGGAACACCAGUGGCGAAGGCGGCUCACUGGCUCGAUACUGACGCUGAGGUGCGAAAGCGUGGGGAGC
rnacentral:rRNA from 1 species